CGGGUUUUAACUAGGUCGGGUUGGGUUGGAUACGCAGUAGGUUGGCUAAAAUUGCCAUCCCUACUUGUAAUAUUCUUUCCUUAUAAUGACUACUACAAAAUACAAUCUUUUCUUUAAAAUUUUAAACAUCUUUUCCUUUGUGUACUCAUCUCUGCUUGCAUUCAUCAAUCAAAGCAACACUUGAGGAGUACUUUAGUACCAUAGC
rnacentral:lncRNA from 1 species